UACGUAGGUGACAAGCGUUGUCCGGAUUUACUGGGCGUAAAGAGCGCGCAGGCGGUCGAUCAAGUCGAGUGUGAAAGCCCCCGGCUCAACUGGGGAGGGUCAUUCGAUACUGAUCGACUCGAAGGCAGGAGAGGGUAGUGGAAUUCCCGGUGUGGUGGUGAAAUGCGUAGAUAUCGGGAGGAACACCAGUGGCGAAGGCGACUACCUGGCCUGUUCUUGACGCUGAGGCGCGAAAGCUAGGGGAGCAAACGGG
rnacentral:rRNA from 1 species